CCUGUUCGAGCGUCAUUACAACCCUCAAGCUCUGCUUGGUAUUGGGCUACACCCGACUGGGUGGGCCUUAAAAUCAGUGGCGGUGCAUCUGGCUCUAAGCGUAGUAAUUUAUCUCGCUAUUGGGUCCGGUGGUUGCUUGCCAACAACCCCCAACUUCUAAGGUUGACCUCGGAUCAGGUAGGGAUACCCGCUGAACUUAA
rnacentral:misc_RNA from 1 species